rnacentral:rRNA from 1 species
GUAGGUGGCAAGCGUUGUCCGGAAUUAUUGGGCGUAAAGCGCGCGCAGGCGGUUCUUUAAGUCUGAUGUGAAAGCCCACGGGCUCAACCGUGGAGGGUCAUUGGAAACUGGAGAACUUGAGUACAGAAGAGGAAAGCGGAAUUCCACGUGUAGCGGUGAAAUGCGUAGAGAUGUGGAGGAACACCAGUGGCGAAGGCGGCUUUCUGGUCUGUAACUGACGCUGAGGCGCGAAAGCGUGGGGAGCAAACAGGAUUAGAUACCCUGGUAGUCCACGCCGUAAACGAUGAGUACUAAGUGUUAGGGGGUUUCCGCCCCUUAGUGCUGCAGCUAACGCAUUAAGCACUCCGCCUGGGGAGUACGGCCGCAAAGGCUG